rnacentral:rRNA from 1 species
GACGAACGCUGGCGGCGUGCUUAACACAUGCAAGUCGAACGGAAAGGCCCUGCUUUUGUGGGGUGCUCGAGUGGCGAACGGGUGAGUAACACGUGAGUAACCUGCCCUUGACUUUGGGAUAACUUCAGGAAACUGGGGCUAAUACCGGAUAGGAGCUCCUGCUGCAUGGUGGGGGUUGGAAAGUUUCGGCGGUUGGGGAUGGACUCGCGGCUUAUCAGCUUGUUGGUGGGGUAGUGGCUUACCAAGGCUUUGACGGGUAGCCGGCCUGAGAGGGUGACCGGCCACAUUGGGACUGAGAUACGGCCCAGACUCCUACGGGAGGAAGAGGUGGGGAAUAUUGCACAAUGGGCGGAAGCCUGAUGCAGCAACGCCGCGUGCGGGAUGACGGCCUUCGGGUUGUAAACCGCUUUCGCCUGUGACGAAGCGUGAGUGACGGUAAUGGGUAAAGAAGCACCGGCUAACUACGUG